GACGAACGCUGGCGGCGUGCCUCAUACAUGCAAGUCGAGCGGAUGCAGCAAUGCAUUAGCGGCGGACGGGUGAGUAACACGUGGGCAACCUGGCCUUAAGAGGGGGAUAACGUUCCGAAAGGGACGCUAAUACCGCGUAAAUCAGCGAAAUCGCAUGAUUUUGUUGGAAAAGGAGAAAUCCGCUUAAGGAUGGGCCCGCGGCCUAUUAGCUAGUUGGUAGGGUAACGGCCUACCAAGGCGACGAUAGGUAGCCGACCUGAGAGGGUGAACGGCCACACUGGAACUGAGAAACGGUCCAGACUCCUACGGGAGGCAGCAGUAGGGAAUAUUCCGCAAUGGGCGAAAGCCUGACGGAGCAACGCCGCGUGAGUGAAGAAGGUCUUCGGAUCGUAAAGCUCUGUCAACAGGGACGAAACAAGACGGUACCUGAGAAGGAAGCCACGGCAAACUACGUG
rnacentral:rRNA from 1 species